AGUGCUGGAUCAGAAGUUAUUGUAACGCCUUUAAAAAUUGACGGUACACAUGCUUUUAAAUGAGGUCUCGUCUCUGAGUUAGAGUAAACUGUCAAGACUUAAAACUUACUUAUUUUACCUUUCACCAUGGGACUUGUAACCAUCACUUCUGUCUUGAGUAGUUAAAAGAUAGAACAGUCUAGUCAAGUGCCAUGUCUCAUAUUCUUGAUCAGCUAUAGCUCUGGAGUUUUUGCAGAUUUUCAAAUAAAACUCAGAGAUUCCUUGUAUGACUCUCUUAGAUCUCUCUUUUGUGGUAUUUCUGGAUCCUUACCAAGGCAGUGAUGGUAUAUGCCUUCUCUCAAGUAUGUAGUAUUUGUGGUAUAAGGCAUAAUGACAUUGCCUUCUCUCUCAUCCUACUCUAAUAAGGCUUUGAUAUCUAGAGCUCAUAGGUGGGACAUACUUACAAGACAUUUAUUGUAUAGUCAAACCAUGGAUCCAAAGAAAUAAGUCAAUAAGUCAAAUCAAUAUGUGCAUGUGUGGCGAAUGAAUGGUAUAUGGUGAUGAUGGUGACAACAAUGGUGAAAGACUAAUUCUACUUGUGCUCUUUGAGGGGAUACAUACCUUCCUUGCUCUUUGGAACUUUUUGAUGAGAAUGAGAUGCUCUAUCUUUUAUUUUUCCUCUCAGGUGGGUAUUUUGUACCCCUAAUUCUACUGUCGGACACUUGUCCCUUUUUACCCCUCGUCUCACUUUUUUCUUUUCUUUCGAGGUUCUGGGCACUUGCCCCUUUUUAUUUCCUCGUUUCUUUUCUCUCUUUUUUUAGAGCACUCAUCUCCUGAAAUAAUAUAGCAAGUGGUAGUAACCAAGAUAACUUGAGCAUUUAUUUCACAGGGGAAAACAGAAAUGUUUUUGGCUAUUCUCUCCCAGAUUAGGAGUAGAAUAUUUUUGGGUGGUUCUGGAGAUGGAAAUGAGUGGAUAUAUGUGGAUGCGUACUUCCGAGGUAGAAGUAGCAUGUGUGAAUGAACGUGCAAGUGAAUUUUGAUUUAACCACAUGACAAGCUCCUAAGGGUCUACACAGCUUGACCACACUCAAUGCUCAUAAGUAGUAAAAAGUAAAUGUGUGGCUCAAAGUCUAGCAAGCAUGUAUAUAUGGCUGUGGUAGGAAUUUAAACUCUCAUCAUACAGGAACUCAUCAUGUAAUAUUUUAAAGAUUUUUCAAAGGCAAAAUUCUCCAGAAUUCUAGCAUCUCUAGAAAUAGAUAAACAGCAGCUCAACCUUCCCAUAUCAUAUCCGUUAACAACUUAGACUUC
rnacentral:lncRNA from 1 species